rnacentral:rRNA from 1 species
CCCUUAGAUGUUCUGGGCCGCACGCGCGCUACACUGACGGCUUCAACGAGUAUACGUGUUUGCCUAGGCCGAAAGGUCACUUGGGUAAUCUUAUGAAAGGUUGUCGUGCUGGGGAUCGAUCACUGUAACAAGGAUCGUCAACGAGGAAUUCCUAGUAAGUGCGAGUCAUCAGCUCGCGCUGAUUACGUCCCUGCCCUUUGUACACACCGCCCGUCGCUCCUACCGAUUGGAUGCUCAGGUGAAUACUUUGGACUGGACAUUUCAGGGUAACUUGGGAUGUUUGGGAAAUUGCGUAAAUCUUAUCAUCUAGAGGAAGGAGAAGUCGUANCA